GUAUUUAUGAGGAAAGUGCUCGUGAAUUUGUUUUUUAUCUAUGUAUUUGUACAUAGUGAGGUAUGAUCCAGUUAUUUUUCAAGAAUUGAGCCUCAUACCAGAACGAAAUGGUUACCGGUGCAUUGGUCGAGAAAGACAAGAAUUCAACCUCAAGGUGUGGUAUGAUGCAGUUAUUUUUCAAGAAUUGAGCCUCAUACGAGAUGGUUACCAUUACAUUGGUCGAGAAAGUCAAGAAUACAACCUCAAGAAUGUUUGAGUGAUAUUUCCAUUGAAAAGUGAGUAGGAUAGAUGCUAAAACAAUUUCCAAGUUUUUUGCCCAAAUAAGUUCUUAAUUCUCAAUUGCACCAACCACGAUGAGAAAUUUUCAUUCGAUUAAUUAAAUGCACCUAUCUACUAAAAUUUGGGAUCUUGAAAUG